UACGUAGGGACCGAGCGUUGUCCGGAAUCAUUGGGCGUAAAGAGCGUGUAGGCGGCUUGUUAAGUCUUGCGUGAAAUCUCGGGGCUCAACCCCGAGCGGUCGUGAGAAACUGGCAGGCUAGAGUGCGGGAGAGGAGAGUGGAAUUCCUGGUGUAGCGGUGAAAUGCGCAGAUAUCAGGAAGAACACCCGUGGCGAAGGCGGCUCUCUGGAACGCAACUGACGCUGAGACGCGAAAGCGUGGGAGCAACAGG
rnacentral:rRNA from 1 species